AGAGAGAGACAUGCGCGCAUAUCAAUAAGCGGAGGAAAAGAAACUAACAAGGAUUCCCUUAGUAACGGCGAGUGAAGCGGGAAGAGCUCAAAUUUGAAAUCUUCAAGGUUUUACCUUGACGAAUUGUAGUUUAAAGAAGUGUUUUCUGCUGAAGUUUUGGUAAAAGUUCUUUGGAAUAGGACAUCAUAGAGGGUGAGAAUCCCGUAUUUGACCAUUAUUUUCAGCUUUGUGAUACACUUUCAAAGAGUCGGAUUGUUUGGGAAUGCAGUCCAAAAUGGGUGGUAAAUUUCAUCUAAAGCUAAAUAUUGGCGAGAGACCGAUAGCGAACAAGUACCGUGAGGGAAAGAUGAAAAGAACUUUGAAAGAGAGUUAAACAGUACGUGAAAUUGUCAAAAGGGAAGCGUUUGACACCAGUGUUGUUUUCUCGAAAAUCAAUUAAAAAUGGCUCGAUUUUGUAUUGUUGAGACCUUAAAAGCUCACUGUACAUUUUUCGUGUCUUUUUUAAUGCACUUUUCGUUUAACAAGUCAACAUCAGUUUCUUUUGUUGUAAAAGGGUCAUUGGAAGGUGGCUUUCUUUUCGGAGAAAGUGUUUAUAGCCUUUGGCCUCUGCAAUCGGAGAGACUGAGGUCUGCAGCGUAGACUCUUCGGGGUUAGAUACAUUUGUGCUAAGUUAUAGCUUUUUACUAGACAACUUGUUGACUAUAAUUAGUCUUGUAGCUUACUCGCUUAUGCUAUUUUACCUACGCUUAGGAUGUUGAGUCGUAGAGCACGCAG
rnacentral:rRNA from 1 species